AACGAACGCUGGCGGCAUGCCUAACACAUGCAAGUCGAACGAGACCUUCGGGUCUAGUGGCGCACGGGUGCGUAACGCGUGGGAAUCUGCCCUUAGGUACGGAAUAACUCAGGGAAACUUGAGCUAAUACCGUAUAAUGACUUCGGUCCAAAGAUUUAUCGCCUAAGGAUGAGCCCGCGUCGGAUUAGCUAGUUGGUGAGGUAAAAGACUCACCAAGGCGACGAUCCGUAGCUGGC
rnacentral:rRNA from 1 species